rnacentral:rRNA from 1 species
AAUGCUGGCGGCGUGCCUAAUACAUGCAAGUCGAGCGGUAACAGGGGUCGUCACCGUUCCUUUACACUCCGGCGGCAUUCGCGGGAGGUGCAUUAGAGGGAACAGUGAGACUUUGCUGACGAGCGGCGGACGGCUGAGUAACGCGUGGGAACGGACCCCAAACUGAGGGAUAACUACUCGAAAGAGUGGCUAAUACCGCAUGUGAUCUUCGGAUUAAAGUCUUCGGACGGUUUGGGACUGGCCUGCGUACGAUUAGAUAGUUGGUAGGGUAAUGGCCUACCAAGUCGACGAUCGUUAGAUGGUUUGAGAAGAUGAUCAUCCAGACUGGGACUGAGACACGGCCCAGACUCCUACGGGAGGCAGCAGUAGGGAAUCUUUCACAAUGGGCGAAAGCCUGAUGGAGCAACGCCGCGUGCAGGAUGACGGCCUUCGGGUUGUAAACUGCUUUUAUAUCUGAGAAAUAUGAUGGUAAGAUAUGAAUAAGGACCGGCUAACUACGUGCC